CACAUGCAAGUCGAGGGGUAGAGUCUUCGGAAUUUGAGACCGGCGCACGGGUGCGUAACGCGUAUGCAAUCUGCCUUCCACAGAGGGAUAGCCCAGAGAAAUUUGGAUUAAUACCUCAUAGCAUUACAGGAUGGCAUCAUCCGGUAAUUAAAGUCACAACGGCGGAAGAUGAGCAUGCGUCCCAUUAGCUAGUUGGUAAGGUAACGGCUUACCAAGGCGACGAUGGGUAGGGGUCCUGAGAGGGAGAUCCCCCACACUGGUACUGAGACACGGACCAGACUCCUACGGGAGGCAGCAGUGAGGAAUAUUGGUCAAUGGGCGCAAGCCUGAACCAGCCAUGCCGCGUGCAGGAUGACGGUCCUAUGGAUUGUAAACUGCUUUUGUACGGGAAGAAACACUGAUUCGUGAAUCAGCCUGACGGUACCGUAAGAAUAAGGAUCGGCUAACUCCGUGCCAGCAGCCGCGGUAAUACGGAGGAUCCAAGCGUUAUCCGGAAUCAUUGGGUUUAAAGGGUCUGUAGGCGGUCUUGUAAGUCAGUGGUGAAAGCCCACCGNUCAACGGUGGAACGGCCAUUGAUACUGCAGGACUUGAAUUACCGGGAAGUAACUAGAAUAUGUAGUGUAGCGGUGAAAUGCUUAG
rnacentral:rRNA from 1 species